rnacentral:miRNA from 14 species
GUUUUUGAAUAUUCAAAACUGGUGUGGAGCACAUGACUUGGGUCUCUCCUGUUGGGGGGUCUCACUUCUAUUUAAAUCUCAUUCCUGUCUACUUGUAGCCUCCCUAGCUGGACCCU